UACGGAGGGUGCAAGCGUUAUCCGGAUUCACUGGGUUUAAAGGGUGCGUAGGAGGGCAGGUAAGUCAGUGGUGAAAUCUCCGAGCUUAACUCGGAAACUGCCGUUGAUACUAUCUGUCUUGAAUACCGUGGAGGUGAGCGGAAUAUGUCAUGUAGCGGUGAAAUGCUUAGAUAUGACAUAGAACACCAAUUGCGAAGGCCGCUCACUACACGAGCAUUGACUCUGAGGCACGAAAGCGUGGGGAUCAAACAGG
rnacentral:rRNA from 1 species